UGGUAGAUGCACCCUGAUAACUUGCUCCCCUAGUUAACUGUCGGUUGCUAGGGGAUUUUUUU
rnacentral:sRNA from 1 species